GCCGAAAUAGCUCAGUUGGGAGAGCAUCAGACUGAAGAUUAAAAGGUCCUAGGUUCGGUCCCAGGUCUCGGCA
rnacentral:tRNA from 1 species